AUUUGGGGUGCCCUCCAACCACAACCAAUCCACCGUUUUUCUCACUUCUUUGAGGUCGGGUGGUGGCGGUGGGAGGCCCUGCAAGUCAGCGCAGACAUUCUUCUCCCCUGCAACAUUUCCCAGACCCUCUGGGAGAUUUUGAGGCCAGGUGGGAUACAUAAUUCAAGUUCUGGGGGUGCACUGGGUCACCUCGUUGGACAUGCAGGGAAAACCUCAAAAGGAAAGUGCUGUAGAGGAAUCGCUGAUGAGCAGACAGGACCUUUCGUUCCUUUUAUUAUUUCAUGUAUUUACAUGAGUCAGGCCGUGAUAAAUCAGGGUAUAGAGCACAAACAGAACACACAAUUAACAGUGCAGAGGGGGUGUGUAGUGCAGUUAUUCAUUUAUUUCAAAAUAUUUAUUCUAUCUUCUUAAUUUAUUCCAGCCGAGGCCAAUUCUCAGUCGACAAUAUCAUGUCACACUGAACAUUUCUUAUCCAUUUGUUGGAGGGGAGCAGGAAGAAGAAACAUCUUAUAUUACCUGCCCUUCACCAUAGACUGUAUAUAGAAUGGACGCCGUCUGCCUCCUCGCUGGGUGAAGCCACUCCGAGAACAGCUCCCUCUGUUGACGGGCUGCAGUAUAGGUCAUAAAUCCCGCCUCCUCCAGCAAUCCCUAUGGAGCUGUGGACAAACUUAAGAAAUAAAUGACAGAAUAUAAAUUUUUCUCCCCCCCUGCUUGUGAUGUUGACAUGUAUUUAUUUUAAGACUGGUUUGUGCUCAAGUCCUCUUUUUUUCUGUGCAACUCCAUUUUUAAAAGUUAUUAGGGGGUUCAUGUUUUCUAUGAUUAACACCUGAUACAGUCUAUGGGCGUGCGAAGACUUCGUAUUGACGCUGUUUGAGCCGAGCGUCAUCACAGAGACAAGAAGAGAGAAAAAAUGCGGAAUUACUGAGAGCUUUUCAGCUUCAAAUCGGUAACCAGGCGGAAGGUGGAACCAAGUUGUCCAUAGUAUAAACAGUCUUUGGCUAAGACCCACUCUCCAUCCCCCCAUUUCCCAUCUCUCUUCAGGUUUUCUAUCUUAAAAAGGCAAAAAUCCAAAUUCAAAAUUCUGACUCUGAUCUGAGAAUUCUGCUUUUAAUCUUCUGAGUUUGAAGUCAGAAUUGGUCCUGUCAAAAAAGACAGUGGUCCUUCUUCUGUUCUGCUGUAGUUGGUAAAUUGUACUGAACUGAAGCAAAUUCACAGUCCCAACACGUCUACAUCUGUGAGAGUUCAAUACUCGGGCUUCAGGGUGGAGAUUAGGGUAGGACCACUGACUUGUACCAUUUGUGAGGGAGACCUGGAAGUUCUCAAUCAAAGAAUCUCCUCCAUCUACCGCCUUGAACAGUCGUCUGCCCUCUUUUUUAUCUCUGUUUUCAAACAGCUGUGAAGGGUUAUUUUCACUCCUGUUUUUUAGGUUUCUAUUUCAGCCCAGUCUGUUUUCAGUUUCAGGUUUUGAACAGAAACAGAGGCACUUUGAUCUCUGUUGGUGGUUUUUUCCCGACAGUGAGCUGAGCUCCUCUGGAAUGAUGAAAAGGGAGACCUGUGGAGGGAUUUGGCCUGUAUUGAUCAGACGUUUCAUGUUAAUCAAUAAAACCAAACAGCAGCAGCAGCAGCAGCAGGAGCAGGAGCUGGUGGACUGAGCCUUAAAAAAGAAACAAAGUGAUAGAAACAUGUUUUUGGGAUCUCUCUCCUGACUGCUGCAGUCACUGGUCUCUUUACUGGUCCUGUGAUUGAUGCUCACUCUGCAGAAUUAGAUUUCCUCUCUGGUUUCUUUCAAAUAAUGAAAUAUGACGCUCUAUGUUUUGUUAAUUGAGGAUAAUACAAGUCGUUUAUUUUAUUUAGGCCUGUCCAACCUGCCAGGAAAUCUGUUCUGCAAUUAACCUGACACUGGAGCAAACAUCCCUCUUCAUCCUCCCCCUCCUCUUCCUCCUCAUGCUAUCCUCCCACCUCCUCUCUUUCACUGAGCGGCACGAUAACAAAGUCAUAUCCGCAUCUGUUCCACUCUCCUACAGAGAUAAGGACGCCGUUUUCACCCCGUCACUCCCUGCCUGAUUUGUCUGGAAGCUUCAUUGUGAGAGUCGAACACGCAGAUGGAGAAAAAGAAACCUGAUUUCUGCUCCGCUGCUUCUGAAGAGGAUGAAGUUAUUGAAUUUGUCUAAACUUUGAGGAGAGCUGUAACAUCUUUAAAUUAUUAACUUCUUUUUCUUUACAGCCGGGCGCUCCAAAUAUUCUGCCUCGUUCAUCUCCGGUGUUUCUUUUAAAAAGGUAUUAAAAUUGACUAGAUCUACCUUUGUAUUAAUAACUGGGACAAACUCUAUCACUCGUGUUGAAAAAUGCACAAGUUUCUUUAUUAAAAGUCUAUCAGGCUGUCUUGCGGCUUGUAUUUUAGCUGCAGAGCCUGUUUUUAAUAUUUCAUCUCACCUCAUUCCCA